rnacentral:rRNA from 1 species
AAAAGAACCUGAAACCGUGUACGUACAAGCAGUGGGAGCCUCUUAAUGGGGUGACUGCGUACCUUUUGUAUAAUGGGUCAGCGACUUAUAUUCUGUAGCAAGGUUAACCGAAUAGGGGAGCCGAAGGGAAACCGAGUCUUAACUGGGCGUUAAGUUGCAGGGUAUAGACCCGAAACCCGGUGAUCUAGCCAUGGGCAGGUUGAAGGUUGGGUAACACUAACUGGAGGACCGAACCGACUAAUGUUGAAAAAUUAGCGGAUGACUUGUGGCUGGGGGUGAAAGGCCAAUCAAACCGGGAGAUAGCUGGUUCUCCCCGAAAGCUAUUUAGGUAGCGCCUCGUGAAUUCAUCUCCGGGGGUAGAGCACUGUUUCGGCAAGGGGGUCAUCCCGACUUACCAACCCGAUGCAAACUGCGAAUACCGGAGAAUGUUAUCACGGGAGACACACGGCGGGUGCUAACGUCCGUCGUGAAGAGGGAAACAACCCAGACCGCCAGCUAAGGUCCCAAAGUCAUGGUUAAGUGGGAAACGAUGUGGGAAGGCCCAGACAGCCAGGAUGUUGGCUUAGAAGCAGCCAUCAUUUAAAGAAAGCGUAAUAGCUCACUGGUCGAGUCGGCCUGCGCGGAAGAUGUAACGGGGCUAAACCAUGCACCGAAGCUGCGGCAGCGACACUAUGUGUUGUUGGGUAGGGGAG